UGAGCUGCGACUGGCAAGAGGCACAGUGCUGGGCUGCAUACUUGCUACUGCGUGCUUAUAGUGCACAUCCUCCAUGUGCCCUGUCUCAGGAGGACUGGUUCCUAGCAUUGGAUUCAGAGAAACGGAACCUUUACCAAGACGCCUUUCUACGAGCACAUCACCGGCUCUCUGUUUCAGGUCACAUACGCAUGUGCUUUGCAAUGCCGAAGAUAAGGAUCGCUGGCUCGCUGACAUAAGGAAGCAAGCAUGCACACCUGAGGUUCGAAAGAGGAUUUACAAAAGCAUUUUUGAUGGAAAAAGUAGCGAUUCAUGGUUCCUACAGGACACAAGUUUUAUCAGUUCUGCUGCUGAAUUUCCUUCACCAGCAGCUCUCCAUAAACAUGACCA
rnacentral:lncRNA from 1 species